GCACCCGUAGUUCAAUGGAUAGAAUCCGGCCCUCCGAAGGCUGUGAUGAAGGUUCGAAUCCUUCCGGGUGCGCCA
rnacentral:tRNA from 1 species